rnacentral:rRNA from 1 species
GACGAACGCUGGAGGCAUGCCUAAUACAUGCAAGUCGAACGCUUUUUCUUUCACCGGAGCUUGCUCCACCGAAAGAAAAGGAGUGGCGAACGGGUGAGUAACACGUGGGUAACCUGCCCAUCAGAAGGGGAUAACACUUGGAAACAGGUGCUAAUACCGUAUAACAAUAGAAACCGCAUGGUUUCUAUUUGAAAGGCGCUUUUGCGUCACUGAUGGAUGGACCCGCGGUGCAUUAGCUAGUUGGUGAGGUAACGGCUCACCAAGGCAACGAUGCAUAGCCGACCUGAGAGGGUGAUCGGCCACAUUGGGACUGAGACACGGCCCAAACUCCUACGGGAGGCAGCAGUAGGGAAUCUUCGGCAAUGGACGRAAGUCUGACCGAGCAACGCCGCGUGAGUGAAGAAGGUUUUCGGAUCGUAAAACUCUGUUGUUAGAGAAGAACAAGGAUGAGAGUAAAAUGUUCAUCCCUUGACGGUAUCUAACCAGAAAGCCACGGCUAACUACGUGCCAGCAGCCGCGGUAAUACGUAGGUGGCAAGCGUUGUCCGGAUUUAUUGGGCGUAAAGCGAGCGCAGGCGGUUUCUUAAGUCUGAUGUGAAAGCCCCCGGCUCACCCGGGGAGGGUCAUUGGAAACUGGAGAACUUGAGUGCACAAGAGGAGAGUGGAAUUCCACGUGUAGCGGUGAAAUGCGUAGAUAUAUGGAGGAACACCAGUGGCGAAGGCGGCUCUCUGGUCUGUAACUGACGCUGAGGCUCGAAAGCGUGGGGAGCAAACAGGAU